CGCAUGCCAGAAAAUGGCUGGGCACGAUUUUCCUCCGCCCCUUCCUUGUCUAUCGUGAUUUCACGCAUGCAAGAAAAGAGAUGGAUGCGAUUUCUUUCUUUGUUGAGGACGUCCUCCCUUUUUAUUUCUAUCGGUCAUGUGGUUGUAGCAGCAUAUUUUGGAAUAAGAAAAAAAAUUUUCUCAAACUCUUUGUUGCGUCUCUCUCUCUUCUAUCCAUUUCUUCCUCCUCCUUCUUCCUCCCUCCCUUCUCUACCUCUUCUCCCCUAUCCUCUAUCUCCUAAUUUGCUGUCCAUAUCUUCUCAAUCAACAAUAAUCCACUCCUUACCACCCAUAACCAAAGUCACACCUUAAUGCCCUCUCCUUAAAGGUUGAAUAGAACUGGAGCAAUCAGAUUCUCUCUAUGAGUUUGUGAUCUAGAUCUAAAGACAAAGUGAUCUCCUUCGAUGUCAAACCCCUAUGGUGCUCUUCAACUCCUACCGAAUUGGUCUUCUCCUUCAGAUCGUGCAAGAUCUCAUGCUAGAACACAUAGUUUCAGAUGGGUUAUAUCGUGGAGUUCAAGCUAUGGUGUCAUCUUAUCGAUGUUAUAUGAUCUCUAGGAUUCAUGCAGCCGUAUCACAUCAUUGACCUGGUGUAUGAGACAUGACACAUAUUAAUUUGGUAAUGCACAAAAUUUUAUAUAUGGCAUUUUCAGACUUACCUCUAAACAAUCAAUAACCUACUUUAUUGUGCUGUUGUGAUGUUGUUACCAUCCACACUGAUCUUGAUCCAAUAAUUAUUUUUCUAAAGGAAAAAAACAUUAUUCCCA